rnacentral:tRNA from 1 species
GUGGGAGUCGCCUAGUGGCCAUGGCGGCAGCCUGCUAUCAAUUGCAGCUGUAGUGGCCGAAAGCUGUUCGCGCGCAAGCGCUUCGCGGGUUCGAAUCCCGCCUCCCACG